UACGUAGGGGGCAAGCGUUGUCCGGAAUUAUUGGGCGUAAAGGGCGCGUAGGCGGCCAUUCAAGUCGGAGGUGAAAGCCCAGGGCUCAACCCUGGAAUUGCCUUCGAUACUGUUUGGCUAGAGACCGGAAGAGGUAAGUGGAACUGCGAGUGUAGAGGUGAAAUUCGUAGAUAUUCGCAAGAACACCAGUGGCGAAGGCGGCUUACUGGUCCGGUUCUGACGCUGAGGCGCGAAAGCGUGGGGAGCGAACAGG
rnacentral:rRNA from 1 species